GAUGAAGAACGUAGCGAAAUGCGAUACGUAAUGUGAAUUGCAAAUUCAGUGAAUCAUCGAGUCUUUGAACGCAAAUUGCGCCCCCUGGUAUUCCGGGGGGCAUGCCUGUCCGAGCGUCAUUGCUGCCCUCAAGCACGGCUUGUGUGUUGGGCCCCGUCCUCCGAUCCCGGGGGACGGGCCCGAAAGGCAGCGGCGGCACCGCGUCCGGUCCUCGAGCGUAUGGGGCUUUGUCACCCGCUCUGUAGGCCCGGCCGGCGCUUGCCGAUCAACCCAAAUUUUUAUCCAGGUUGACCUCGGAUCAGGUAGGGAUACCCGCUGAACUUAAGCAUAUCAAUAAGCGGAGGA
rnacentral:misc_RNA from 1 species